UAUAUAGUUCAGGUCUCCCUGCAGUUCUCGAUUGGUUUCCCACUGAAGAUAAACAGGGUUGAGCCUUGCCAAUACUAGGAUGGGAGACCUCCUGGAGAAAACUAAGGUUGCUGGUGGAA
rnacentral:rRNA from 1 species